GGGGAUUUAGCUCAGUGGUAGAGCGCUUGCCUCGCAAGUGCAAUGCCCUGGGUUCAGUCCUCA
rnacentral:tRNA from 1 species